CUGAAAUAUUCUUGCUGUUCUAAUUUUGUAAUAAUCAGGGCAGGCUAAACAUUCACUAUAUUAAGACUAUGCAUACUUCUCCAGAUCUACUUUUUUCCCUAGGUCUGUUUUUUUAAAUGCUGGUGAUAAAC